rnacentral:rRNA from 1 species
GACGAACCGUGCGAACGUUAUUCGGAAUCACUGGGCUUAAAGCGCGUGUAGGCGGGCCGGCACGUCGGCCGCUGAAAGCCCCCGGCUCAACCGGGGAAGCGGCGCCGAUACGACCGGCCUGGAGGGGGGGUAGGGGGAGCCGGAACUCACGGUGGAGCGGUGAAAUGCGUUGAGAUCGUGAGGAACGCCCGUGGCGAAAGCGGGCUCCUGGGCCCCGCCUGACGCUGAGACGCGAAAGCCAGGGGAGCGAACGGGAUU